CAAAGUACUUUUUCAUUUCUGCUCCUAGACCGCAAGGUUUGGCUCGAGUUCCCAGAGCACUUGCCUCUCAUCCGAGAGUCCUUAUGGCGAGAACCGGUGCUCUUCGCAUCCCCAGCUAGCUCUCAGCAGUGCUUUGCGAUCACGACUUUACUUCUCCCGCCAGGUCGCCUUUGCAGGAGAAUUCAGCCACCAACAGCUGGGCAUCCACGGGACAGGAGCAGAAUAAUGAAUUACCAACUUGAAAAUUCAAGAAGAAUUUUGGGGGCCUGGAUUUUUUCCAGGUCUCUUGGACUCAGCAAGAAGUGGCUAUCUCCAGGGCAGGAAGGGAGCUGUCACCGGAACCCAGCUAGGCUGGCACCCUGAUUUUGGACUUACAGUCUCCAAAACUGUAUGAGGUCAGUUUCAAAGCACCAAACACAAUGGAAGAGCAGAAAAUAGUAUGAAGUUUGAUGGGCCUGUAAACACACAAACCUGGGAUAUAAAAAGAACUUUAGUGGGCAGUGUAUAAACAAGGAGAAAAUCCUAUCCAAAACAACUUGCAAAAGUGCAGAGGAAGCAGCAUCCUUGAUAAACAAUGAAUCAUAAAACUCCCCCCACCCCUUUCUGAUGGACAGAGAACACAAAAACGGACUAGCAUGAAUACUGCUGAGAGGUGUUUCCUUGUCACUGCGAUUUCAGCACACCUGGGGGAGGCCUGAGGAUGGUCCGUGUCAAGUUG